UGGGGAAGAAAUUCAAGGGUAAUAUCGUGACGUGUUGACGUUACCUACAGAAGAAGCACUGGCUAACUCUGUGCCAGCAGCCGCGGUAAUACAGAGAGUGCGAGCGUUAAUCGGAAUCAUUGGGCGUAAAGCGCGCGUAGGUGGAUAUUUAAGUCGGAUGUGAAAGCCCUGGGCUUAACCUAGGAAUUGCAUCCGAUACUGGGUAUCUUGAGUAUGGUAGAGGGGAGUGGAAUUUCCGGUGUAGCGGUGAAAUGCGUAGAUAUCGGAAGGAACAUCAGUGGCGAAGGCGGCUUCCUGGACCAAUACUGACACUGAGGCGCGAAAGCGUGGGGAGCAAACAGGAUUAGAGACCCUGGUAGUCCACGCCGUCAACGAUGAGAACUAGCUGUUGGGGAGUUUACUUUCUAGUAGCGAAGCUAACGCGUUAAGUUCUCCGCCUGGGGAGUACGGCCGCAAGGUUAAAACUCAAAGAAAUUGACGGGGGCCCGCACAAGCGGUGGAGCAUGUGGUUUAUUUCGAUGCAA
rnacentral:rRNA from 1 species